GAUGAACGCUGGCGGCGUGCCUAAUACAUGCAAGUCGAGCGAACAGACGAGGAGCUUGCUCCUCUGACGUUAGCGGCGGACGGGUGAGUAACACGUGGAUAACCUACCUAUAAGACUGGGAUAACUUCGGGAAACCGGAGCUAAUACCGGAUAAUAUAUUGAACCGCAUGGUUCAAUAGUGAAAGACGGUUUUGCUGUCACUUAUAGAUGGAUCCGCGCCGCAUUAGCUAGUUGGUAAGGUAACGGCUUACCAAGGCAACGAUGCGUAGCCGACCUGAGAGGGUGAUCGGCCACACUGGAACUGAGACACGGUCCAGACUCCGACGGGAGGCAGCAGUAGGGAAUCUUCCGCAAUGGGCGAAAGCCUGACGGAGCAACGCGGCGUGAGUGAUGAAGGUCUUCGGAUCGUAAAACUCUGUUAUUAGGGAAGAACAAAUGUGUAAGUAACUAUGCACGUCUUGACGGUACCUAAUCAGAAAGCCACGGCUAACUACGU
rnacentral:rRNA from 1 species